GUUGGUUUCGCAUCAACAGUCGGUGGUGGGACCUGGGCUACCAAUCCUGGAGCAGAAGUUACAAGGGAAGGUGCAAUAUAUUGUCCGCGAAAGAGCUGGUGGGGAUCUAACCACGGUUCCUGGAGGAAUUUCGGGAUCAUCGCUGAUCCUGCGUAGAACGAUCCAGUCGGAGAUCGAACGCAAAGUGACGCGGUGCUUUGUUAUUCCUUCGGCUCGAUUUCGAUUCGUUCGUUUCCAGUAAACUUUCCACGGCUACGGCUCUCCACAGUUUAAAGUCGACUAAACAGCCAAUCGAUAAAAAGCAUUAACAAGUUUCGUUGACGAAUUCGUCGUCCAAGAACAAAGAUUAUCGUCGAGCGACCGAUAAUCCUCCUGCCGUGAACUUCCAGUGAACACCGAAAAAUGCCACUGCCAGCCCACGAAACGAAGAACAUCCUCACCACGUACUUCAUACUCAUACUUCUGUUGAUUUGCCUCUGGUUACUGUACGCAGGAUUGUUUUAACUUCGGUGUACCUCAGCAUGGGUCGAAGCAAGAAAGGAACACCUCGACAGCCCGCCAACCUCGAUUGGUCUGCGAUGCCACGCUCGUUCGUAUCGAAAAGAAUUCAAAAUGAACAAAACCAGUGCUGAGAUUAUUCGCGCUUCUCCCGUGCAAUUUUAUUCUCUCGAUUUUGUUCUGUUCGCGCGAAAAGCAAAAUGUAAGUCCAUAUACGUCGCAUUGUAUCGAAACGGAGCGAUGGAACGAGGUUCGGAAAAUGGGACUGUUCGAAAAGUAUCACCGUUGCUAGUAUGUGUUUCGUUCUGCUUGAGACAGCCGAUUGGAUAUCGAAGUCACCUUUUUACAUAAUCAUAAUAACAUAAUAACAUUUUUUUCAAAUCCUAGCUCCCACCGAAAUGUAUUCCAGGGUAAUUGGAUUUCCAAGUGGCAGCUUUGUUUCUAAUAAAAUCGGCAAAAAGUACUGGCGUUUUACCAGAAACUCGACGAUCAAAGAGAAACACAAGCUUCUCGUAAACACGAAACGUUACGCGACUCGAGAGCGAAUGUUUCGCGAAGUAACGAUGGCGCCUGUCGGGCUGUUAUAAACAUAUUUUUUACCGAUGGAAGAAUGCAAGAUUUUAAUUUGAAAUUUUGCACACGCUUUUUUUAUUACUGUUUUAGUACGAUGUACACAUUUUCAGAGAAAGAUUUACCUAAGAAAAGAUAGAAGAAAAAAAAGUCAGCGACUUCGGGGAUCGAAAACACUUCUGUUACGCGAACUGCGUAAGAAACACGUGGGCGUUUAGUCGAAAAUAGCCGAUGCUUCCAACUCUCUUCGCGGUGUACAGCCUAACAGUCGACGUACAGAGAACUAAGUCGGUAUUUUCGAUAGGACUCCCGAAAAUAGAUGUUAUGAGCAUCGCUGCUGUCCGAAUAUAUUGCCACGCUAAGCCGUGAUCGACGGAUCCUCCUCGAUCGUUGCGUAACCGUAGACCGUUGCUGUUUCUCCAGGAUCGAAUUACCGAUUUAUUCGAUUACGAAUUUUUACGUAUAAAUAGAAAUACCGCGGAGAAACGUUUCUCGACCGCUUUCCAUGUAUCGCGACUGUUUUUUGCGACUGAGUUUCGUUUAUUUGAAAUUUUAAUUUUUCGGAUAAAAUAAUAUAUUUUCAGCGAAUGUUGCGUAACGUUUGAAAGGGGAUUGCUUUUUGCGAUAGUUAAUUGUAACCAUUACAGUGGCUUCCUUUAAUAAAGAAGUUAAGUUUUUUUGGAA